rfam:Dipodomys ordii contig_28804, whole genome shotgun sequence.
GUGGCUCAGUGGUAGAGCACUUGCCUUGCAUGCAUGAGGUCCUGGGUUCGAUUCCUCAGC